UACGUAGGGUGCAAGCGUUGUCCGGAAUUAUUGGGCGUAAAGAGCUCGUAGGCGGUUUGUUGCGUCGGCUGUGAAAUCCCGAGGCUCAACCUCGGGUCUGCAGUCGAUACGAGCAAACUAGAGUGUUGCAGGGGAGACUGGAAUUCCUGGUGUAGCGGUGAAAUGCGUAGAUAUCUGGAGGAACACCGGUGGCGAAGGCGACAUCCUGGACCGGUAUUGACGCUGAGGCGCGAAAGCCAGGGGAGCAAACGGG
rnacentral:rRNA from 1 species